rnacentral:rRNA from 1 species
AUGAGAGUUGGUAACACCCGAAGUCCGUGAGGUAACCGUAAGGAGCCAGCGGCCGAAGGUGGGAUUGAUGAUUGGGGUGAAGUCGUAACAAGGUAGCCGUAGGAGAACCUGCGGCUGGAUCACCUCCUUUCUAGGGAG